rnacentral:lncRNA from 1 species
GUCAGUGGGUAUCCCAUGGGGGGAUGAGUCUUUGGGUAAAAACGAGUAUAUUGGUUAAUAUUCUCACUUAUCAUCUUUUGUAAGUCCCUCAUCGGGUAUUAGUUAGUAGCGCUACUUAGGUUUGGCACCCUCACACCGCUCCUGUAGAGGACGGAGGUGAACUAAUGACCCAGUCUGGCCCAGUACUAGAUAGGAGUACGUGGGAAGGGCAGUCGUGUAUUUCAGGAGCCGUCAUUGUUCGGAAUUGAGAUAUUAACAAUAUUACUUGCAUUUGUCAGUGAACGGUUUUACAUACAACUGGUAACAAACGUUUUCUAAAACUAUGAACUCACCAGCGUUGUCUGAUACACUUGUUGCAUGCUCGCAGCUGGAGUGGUCAUGGGUCGAACUGGAUGGAUACAAGUGAUGGGAUGACCGAUAAUACACAUUGGUUUUGAAACACAGUUAAACAAUGAUUUCUUUUAUUUGCUUCCGCUGAACAUGUUGGUUUACAUAUAAACUCAUUGUUGGUACCUUUCAUUAAUAAUUAGAAAAUUUAUUU